GAGACCAUCUGUGUUAAUAUGGCUUAAUUAAGAAUACGGAUCAGCUGAGCCACCCAUCCCCCCCACACACACCUCCCCCGCCGCCCGCAGGCUUCUACGGUUGCCAUGACGGCGGCCUUGUUCUGGGCUGCACUUGGCUUUGCACCUGUGCUCGAGUUCUACGUCUUCACCAUGGCCACCACUGCGCAUCAACUUUCUCCUCAUCGCAGACUUCUUCUGGUUGGUGUCUCUGCUGCUUUCCUCCCUUGUUUGGUUUAUGACAGCAGUCAUUACUGACAUCAAAGAUGGACCAGUGCGGAAAUGUCUGCUGAUUUUUGGAGUGUUAGUCUGUCCUUAGGCAAGAAAUGUGCCGGUUUGCAUGUUAUAAACCUUUUUUUUUUUUAAGCCAGUGAGGGCUUGAAGAGGAUAAACCCAGCCUGAAAUGUUGCCUGCUCUGCCAAGACUAGGACUUGCUCCUCUUCAACCAGUGCUCCAGACAACCCCCAAGGACCAGCACUUUUGAAAUGGACAGCCCUUUAUCAUUUGUGAUAAAGAGAACCAUUCCAAACAUCUGAUAUGGACAUCAUCGCAUCCUUUGAACCUGUCAACUGCAAAGGAUCCUAACUGGAAACAGGUGCCCAGAAUUGGAAGAAGGCAUGAAUAUUGAAAGUCCAGGGCCUUCACUUAGCAGAUGAGGACGAGGACAACACUCUGCAAGCAGUCUCCCUGUUGAGAGGCUUCCCUGGUGGCUCAGUGGUAAAACAUCUGCCCGCCGAUGCAGAAGACACGGGUUCAAUGCAGGAGACACUGGAUCAAGAAGAUAAUCUGGAGAAAGAAAAUGGCAGCCCACUCCAGUAUUCUUGCCUGGAAAAUCGCACAGAGGAGCCUGGUAGGUUACAGUCCAUGGAAUCACAAAGAGUCAGACACGACUUUGUGACUAAAUCACAACAACUCCCUGUUGAGAUGUAAUGCAGGAGCUGUGUGCUUCUACAGGCUUGCCUUGACUCUGGGCCCUGCCAACAACACCCCCCAAAAGUAGAAUGCCAACUCACACUGCCUUAUUGUACCACAUGGGAGCAGGAGAGUUCAGUUCCUCCUCAGCCCUGGUGACAACUUCCUCUUGAAAGUGGAGAACUAACGAUUCUGUCUCAUUGUAUCCUAGUAGGGGUGUAAGCUCAGCUCUCUGUUAGGCUCCACUAACCUCAGGGAAGAGGGAAUGAGAGUGCAAAGUCACACACAUUGUUGCUGCAGUUUCUGAACAGAAGCUCCCCUCCCCACUGACCCCUGCUGUUGCCUGGCUGGGAGAUAAUGAAGUACUAAUACAUUCAAUCUCAUUGCCUGAUGGGAAUGGAGGCUCAACUUGCCACUGAACCUCCCUGAUACUGUGGACCUCCCCAGUACUACCCUGGCAGGAGAAGGGGAGCAAAGUCAACUUCCAGUGGAAAGAUCAGCUCCUCACUCAGCCCAGCUGACACUAACUAGGCAGGGGGUCAGAGCAUCAGCUGCUUCCACCGAGCGGAAGACAGAAGGUCAGCUCCUCGUUCAGUCUCACCGACUUCACUCCCACAGGCAAGAGAAUCAGAGUACCACUGUCUGCUUCCACGAGUGAGCACAGAGGAGAAAUGGAAAAAUCAGCUUGCUGUUUGACCCCAUUGAAACCACAGGAAGCCAGGCAGUAUUUCUGUAGAUGUUUGGCUGGAGUAGGGCAGUUUUUUUAAAAGAAGCACAGAGAGAUGCAGACAUCCAGGAAGAAGGCCAUGUGACAGAGGCAGAGGCUGAAGUUAUGCAGCUAAAAGCCAAGGAACACCAAGGACGGCUGGCAACCAUCAGGAGCUGGGAAGAGUUAAGGGGGAAUCCCCUCCUAGAGCCUUCAGAAAGGGCAUGGCCCUGCUUACACCUUAAUUUCAGACUUCUGAUCUCCAGGGCGGGGAUCUUCCUGACCCAGAGAUCGAAUCCUGGUUUCCUGCAUUGCAAAAAGGUCUUUAACUGUCUGACCACGAGGGAAGCAUUAACA
ensembl:lncRNA